UACGUAGGGGGCUAGCGUUGUCCGGAAUCAUUGGGCGUAAAGAGCGUGUAGGCGGCCUGGUAAGUCCGCUGUAAAAGUCAAAGGCUCAACCUUUGAAUGUCAGUGGAUACUGCCGGGCUAGAGUCCGGAAGAGGCGAGUGGAACUCCUGGUGUAGCGGUGGAAUGCGCAGAUACCAGGAAGAACACCAACGGCGAAGGCAGCUCGCUGGGACGGUACUGACGCUGAGACGCGAAAGCGUGGGGAGCGAACAGG
rnacentral:rRNA from 1 species